UACGGAGGAUCCAAGCGUUAUCCGGAAUCAUUGGGUUUAAAGGGUCCGUAGGCGGUUUGGUAAGUCAGUGGUGAAAGCCCAUCGCUCAACGGUGGAACGGCCAUUGAUACUGCCAGACUUGAAUUAUUAGGAAGUAACUAGAAUAUGUAGUGUAGCGGUGAAAUGCUUAGAGAUUACAUGGAAUACCAAUUGCGAAGGCAGGUUACUACUAAUGGAUUGACGCUGAUGGACGAAAGGCGUGGGUAGCGAACAGG
rnacentral:rRNA from 1 species